CCUCCCCCCGCUGCCAGCAGCGUUCGGGGUAAACAAGGUGAAGCAGCCUGGGGGUGUUCAGCAGUCUGAUUCUGCCUCUCGGGGGGUUGCCCUUGCGGUUGGGGGUGAGAUGUUAACUAAUUAAUUGUAAUUAACAGUAACUUCCAAACUCGAGAAGGAAUCGACCCUCCGGAAGAGUCCGGAUGCCGGCUUAGGGCUGCGCGUCCUUAGAGCAGCGGCAGCUGCAGCCGGGUGGAAGGGGUGCUCCCAGCUCCGGGCUUGCCUUCAGCCAUCCCGAAAUUAACACGGCGCCGGGGAGCAGAGGGAAAGUUUCCCAGCACUAACUGGAGCCACUGGCCCUAACAGAUCUGCAGAGAGUCCCCAGAGCCUCCAAGCCUAGAAGAAGAAAUGAGUGAAAGGAGAUGGAUGAAAACAUCUAGAUCACUCUAAGACUCCUGUUGGAAACUCAUGAUUUUUAAUGGAAUCUAAAGCAGUGAUUCAUGGUGGAAGGGGAUACGCUUGCCAUAAAUCAUCUGCUUUUGCAUAUAUGGACUCUGUGUGGACAGGAUCCAACCCUUCGCCCAAAGCUGACAGCAGUCUUUCUUCCAUUGAUGUCAAUGAGCUUAGAUCAGAGCAUGAGUCUUGUGAUCAAAGACAGUUCUACAUAAAAAAAAAAAGACUUCCUUUUCCAGGGCUUCCAACCUCCUUUUAGCUGCAUGAAAGUACCUGUAGGAAAAGCACACCCUCAUCACAUGUAAUAGUGGCAUACUUUUAUAUUUGCUGCAUUUUAAGUCAUGCUAUUAUUAUUGAGAGAAAAACAAACAAAAAAUUGAUGUUUUUUUUUUCUUUUGAAUGAGCCAAAUGAGUAGAGCACAUCCAUGGGUGUAAGAUCAAGAAGAGGAAUGCUAAGUUUUCACAUUCUGGGAAAUCCCUUAUAUGCAAAAGGAGCUAUGAGAUAUAAUGACUAGUUGUUCCUAACCUUUUGGAAUUGAACAGACUCACAUGAACUCUGAGUUGCCCUUAAGGUCUCCCUUCUUUUAGGGAGAUACAAUGCCCAUUUGUCUCUUCAGGAAAGAGUUGCCAUGGGAAGUUAUUUUCUAGACAAGUAUACAACCUGAACCUGGUUUCUUUUAGGCCAUGUUUUGCUAAACCUCAUUUGCACUCAUCAGCAUGAAGCUGAUAGAGGCAAAUAUGAGAAGAAAACCUGACAACUGGAUGUGUUUCUAGGAGAAGUUUCUCCAAAACCUCAUUGCAAUUUUGCAUUGCCAGGUUUUUGGGCAGCACUGAAAAAUGGGCAGGUUCACUAAACAGAGCUGAAAUGAAGCACCAUCCCUAUCAUUCACAAAAUAGAAGAUACUCCCCUUAGUCAACUUUGUAUCCCAUUCCUCACUCAGAAAUGUUUUUAUUUUAUUUACUUUAAAAUAGAUGUUAAUACAGUUUGCACAGUUGCGUUCACAGAUGUUAAGGCUGUAAGCCAUCUUAUGACCAAUUCUGACUCUUCAUCAUGGGUCAUGAGCUCACCUGCAACUGAUUCCCACUUGAACAAGAGAAGGGCUUGAGAAAGACUAGAAAAGGCAUUCAAUUCUAUCUAUCACAUUGUAUUGUAAAUGAUUGCAGUUGUUACCUAUCCUUAAUGCAACUAAAAUUAUGUGCCUUCAGCUUUCUAUUGGAUUUCCUUGUAUAUUUUUCUACCACAGUGAAAUGUCCCCUAUUAGGCAGUGUCUGUUCCACAUGAAAGCACUUACAAACCAUAAUCAAGUUAUUCUUUAGCUUUUACUGUGAUAUACUAAAUCUAAAAAGACUUACACGGUGGAUUUGCUUCAUUUUACAACCUUAAAUUUUUUUUCAUUCAUAUCCUCAUGGUUCUUCUCAGAACUACCUCUAGUUUGCCAACAUCCUUCUUAAGUUGCUGACAUCACUGCUGACAUUAUUCCAGUAGCUUUCACCAAUGCCAAACACUGAAGUAAUACAAGCUCUCGAUUCCCCUUGAUACUAUCCUCUACACAUAGGAGAAGAUUACAUUGGCCCUUUUUUGAAGCUCAAUUUCAGAGUGUGCUUGGGUUCAGCUAGUUGUCUACCAGGAUCCCCUGUUCAUUUUCCAGUUUCAUUUGCCUAAAGAAGAACCCAUCUCAUGUAACAGCCUGUGAUUUUUGUUCCUAAAUGGAUACUUUACAUUGAGUUACAUGCUAGAUGCAUGCUCUCUUUCGCAUCUCCUCUUCAAGCAAUGUCUAAAAGGCCUUCAUCAAAAAAUGCCCACUUCCAGAUUGUGGUUUGUUAAAAAAUAUUACUUGCAUUGGCAUUACUUUAUCCUGCACUGCCAAUAGCAUUAUUAAUGAGCGCAAAGCUGAUAAGAAGUUUCAGCAGAACCCAGUCUCAUAUUCCCACAUUACCUUGGCCUGAUAGAUUUAGAAUUACCUUGUUUGAAAACAGUUUGGUUUGACAUGUGUGGUCAUCGUAUUUGUUCUUAUUUCUGACAGUCUCUUGUGAUACUGUAUGACAAACACACUCAAAGUCGAAAUAUACGAUAUUACCGCAAUUGCUUUUAUCCACCAAAUUUGUACUCUCAUAAAAAUAGCAUAUUAAUUUGAUAAGAUCUUUCUUCCAUUAAUCUGUGUUGAUUGCUAUUAAUUAAAUUGCACUGUUUUAAUACUUUAUUAAUUGACUUUCCUAUCAGCAGCUCCAUCACUCUGCCUGGAAUAGACAUCAAACUGACAGGCCUAUAAUUACCUGGUUGUCCUAUUUUGUCUGUAGAAUUAUCUGUAAAAUACUAACUUUCUUCCAGUCUUUCCUCAGGAAGAUGUUGUUUUUAGCCAGUGUGGGCUUCUUUCUUAAUUCUUCUUAAUUCCUUUUUGAGGAUCUAGUUAAAUUUUUCUGAGUUGCUCUAAAUAAUUAUUCACAUUUUUGUUGGUUUAAAUUUUCUUCUCCAGUCUGACUGGUACAUCCCUUACUUGGUUUUAGCUUUGGGGAAAUGGAUCUUACAAGGCAAAAGCAUAAAUUUUGCUGGUUAAGACUUUAGGCUGCUUACAUGUAUAGCAUGUAAAGUGCAUUUAAAAGGCACAUAAAUAUAAAACCAAGUCAUUACCGCUUCCACCAAAGCAAACUUUAGAUUUUGUGGUUAAUAUUUCCUUGUGAGGAUGAGGUCUAAUGCAGAAGUUUCCCAUGCCAGAUACAGCUCUUUUUGAGUCAGGAAGUUGUUUUGUGUAUUUUUUCUUGAAAAUCCAAGAAUGCUUUAGUACUUGCAUCAUGAGACAUCCCUUUGCUCUCCCUUCAGAUUUAUCUUGCCAAGACUGAAAAUGCCAUAUAUAGUGAAAGGCUUUUAAAAGGCUAAUCUGGAAGGUCACCCUACACCCAGAGGUAGAGCUGGUUAGACGAACCAGUUCUUGGUCAUUUGAAAUAAAGCCUUCAUGGUAUACAAGCAGAAUUACCAUGCUGCUGGCACUGGAAACUAAAGUCCAUAAGAAUACUAAAACCAGAGUAGUAUUCCUUGAGUGCUGGCCUGGUUUUCAUCAGAACAUAUUAGCAAGAGAGAGUUACUGUCCGUCAUGCUUCUGGCUCAGUGCUGUGUUGCUACUGCCCAGGUGUGUCCUAGCUUUGAAAAGAUAAGCAUCAGAUCUGCCAUAAUUUGGGAGGAAAAAAAAAAAAGGAUGAGAUCAUUUCAUUGUCCGUCUGCAUCUGUGCUUUGGCUGCAGGUAGUAGAGGUCCCUUUCAGGUCCCAUGGAGCAUGAAGACUCGUAGCUCUGCAGGCACCAGCCCAUGCCUCUUUGUUUGCAGAGUGCUUCCUGUUUGGAUUUCCAUGAGCAUUUUUUUUUUUACUCUUCACUUGCUUAAGUGAUGAUUCAACCGGACAAAAGGUAUGGGUUGUUUGUCACCUUCAAGGAGAGAUGUACAGAGAUGUUAAAAAACAUAGGAGAGACUGUGCAAAGCCAGACCAAUGGUCCAUCUAGCCCAGUAUUCUCUCUGUGACAUGCAGCAACAGCAAACAUUCACAGGAAGGGAUAACAGUGCAGGCAUAUGAUGAUACUCCCUCAAAGCAGGCCCCUUCCCUGAUGAUUUUCACACUGAACCAGCAGCAAUGCCUUUCUGUUUGAUAUCCAUCAGUGGCAUUUUCUUCAGUGAAUUCUUCUGAUUUGCUUUUGAGCCCUCAUAUUCUCUUAGCAACCGCAGCAUCCUGUGGCCAGGCAUUCCAUAACUUAAUUGUAUAUAUGAAGAAGUAACUCUUUGUUUCAACCUCUGUCAUUCAAGCCUCCUAAUUUCAUUUGAUACCCCCUUGUUACUGUGCUAGAGGAGGCAGCAAACAGUAAUUCUGUACUUACUUUCUCCCUGCCAUUCAUGAUUUUAUAGACCCUAUAUUAUAUCCCAUCUCUUUUCCCAGCUGAAGAAUCUCAGUCUUUUCAGUAAUUCUUUUUAUGAAAAAUCUCAUUUCACUGUUCCUUUUCUACUUCUGUUAUAUCCUUUGGGAAGGGAAACCAGAAUCCCACGCAGUAUUUAGGAUGCAGCAGUAUUAUGGAUUUAUAGUGACACAGUUUGCUUCUAAAUUGUUCUGUAUCUAACAGUUGUUGAUGUUGACUUGUUUUUCUCACCACUGCUAAUUGUUCUGCUGAAUAUGACGAUCUGUGUCUAUGGAGGUGUGUCAUGACUCCAAGAUCUCUCUGUCCCCUCUGUGAUUAAGUCCAGAUCAGAGCUCAUUGCUGGGUCAUGUUUUUAGAGUUAUUUAUCCCCCAGUGUGAACUGCUUUGCAUUUAUCAACAUUGGUUUGCCUCUACCAUUUUAUUACCCAGUAGUUCAAUAGCAUAAGACAUUUUUGCAGCUCUUCACAUUCAGGUUUUGUUUUUAUGACACCACAUGAGCAAACAUUGCAGACAUUAUUUAUUUGUUCUCAUUUUCUAAUCAUUUUGAAAACAGCAUACAGAACAAUGUAUGUGUUAGGUAUUCAGAAGGGGUAACAGCUGGCAUCACAGGGUAAUCCCAGAACCAAACACCAGGGCAGAUAUGGAUUCAGCUUCUCGAAAAGAGAGAGAAGGAGCUCUGAAGAGAGAGUUCAGCCUUCUUAUUGGCCUUUUGGAGCUUCAGAGAUAGCCUUGACUCCUUCUCUUCUCUUGAAGAAAGUUGAAGUGUGUCACUGAGGUACCUGAACUGACAUCAGAGUCACGUUGGGCUUCAUCAGUAGACAACAAUGGUGUUCAGUGAGGGCAAGCCAAAUCCUAGGUGAGCUAAAAUGAAGUUCUCAGUCUCUUUCCAUCAACCAGAAGAGAAAAUUCUCCAUUCUUAAGCAUUCAACUGGGAAAUUUACAGCAAGAUGGGAUAGAUCCAGACUUCAGUGUGUAGGCUUUUCUGGUGAAUUGCAGACUGUGCAAUUUUACAAGCACGGGGAAAGCAGAGUUAUAAGGUAUCACCUAAGCUGGAACACUGACUAUUUGAAGCAUGUUAUAGCUGAUCUAUAAUUCACAUGCUUAUUUUGACAGGCCAGCUCUUGUUAGUUUUCAAUGGGCGUGGGAGGAAAUAGCAGCGCAUAAAACUUGCACAUUACUAAUACCAUUGCCAUAUAAAACAAAUAUUUGAAUAGGAAGUUUCAGAAAUGAUUCAGUGCUCUAGCUACAGAGUAUCCUACAGGAUUUUUUUUAUAGUAACAGAAUUAAUGAAAAGCAAAUCCUGUUUCUCUACCAUGGGCAUAGGGUGGUCCCAGUGCAGCAGAGCCAGUGUGAUACUGUGUCUCAGGGAUAGAAAAAGCAGCCUCUACAGAUUGCUGGCCCCUUGGGUGAGCAAAGCUUGCUUUGAAAGAACUCCUUGAGCUGAGGGGUUGCUAUAUGCUUUUUAAGUGACUCUACCACAUCGUGUGUGGGUGCAGCAGACAGGGGCUAAAAGCCCCAGGCUGCAAUACAGAAGCAAUUGAAAAGCCACUCUGUUGUUGCUGUUCCGCUGACUGCAAAGGAAAACUCACUUACCACCCCUACAAACUAUUCUAACCACAUCCUUUGAAGGUACUGAAGUUAUUUCACUCACUUAACUCAAAGUUUUCUCAACAUUAAGUCAUAACUUGAAAGCUGCAGGAAGAGGAGACAAUUGUUACGUCAGUAACAACAUUUCAUUCAGAUGCUUUCAUAAGUGGAGGAUUUCUAGGUGCUAAAAUGUGAUAUGACCACCAAACAGAGAAUCCAAAAUAUCACCUUAAAAAUAACCUCCUUCACAACAUAACUUUUUAGUUCACCGGAAACAAUUUGCAGGAAGUUUAGUUCCAGAUCUCCUAUCAGAAAUACAGCUCUUCCACUGCACAGUGCUCUCAGAUUGCACAUAGGAUCAGCCUGCAAACAGUUUGGGGGAGAAAAAUUGCCUCCGUCUUGUGUCUCAUGUCUUGUGUCUUGUAUCUUGUGCAUACUUCAUCACAAAAUUUCUUGGGAAUCUCUCAUUUUGUAUAUUGGAUCCCUAAUUAGAGGGAUCUAAAAAUUAGAGAAAAAAAACACUUCAUUAGCUCCUGGAGAAUUGAGAUUGCUUCUGAUGAAACAGUGAAAGGGGAUGUGUGCACCCAUGAAGCUGAGACACAUUUUACUAAUCUCUGGCAGCCCUUUGACAACCUCUGCUGUGUGCAAUAAUGCAACAUUGUCUGUGAUCUUCAACAAUGUGAUCAAGGAAUUUUCUUUUUUUUUCAAUUUUCAGUUACUUUUAUAAUGUUGAUGAGUAUAUAAUAGGUUUUUGACUCUGGAAAAUCCACCUCAGACUGGGAAAUCCCUUUUAUCUUUCUGAUAUAUGGAAAAGCCUGUGUCUCUUAUCUAUGCUUUGUUCCUAGAAUCAUUUUUAGAUUGAAAUGUAGUAUACUACUAUUUUUUACUUGCAUCUAUUUUAAUGAUCACAUAUAUGUGAUACUGCAACAGGUGGGGUUAUUUAUACACAUGGAAAAAAGAUUUUAUAUCUGUAAGUUGUUCAAGAUCUUAAAAUAACUUGUGUACUACAGGAAUCCUUUCUGUUAACCUUAGAAAAGGGUGGAGGUGUGGGGAGGAAAUGAACAUAAAGUCAUUUUAUUUCUCUCUCACAAGACAUGAAUGAAUAACUGUUGUCAUCUGAUCUUCCAAUGUUGAUCCCCUGUCUGCGACUUUUGAGCAUUUUGCAUUACUUGUUUCCCUAGCUUCCUCAGCUAAGGUGGGUAAAGGAAUAUUACGCAGAGGGAUGAUAUCAUUUUAUGCAUACGAAAUGUAAUAGACUUGAGAAAUGUAUUUUUUCUUUUCUUGAUUGGUAGGUAUGUGGAAAUAAAUGGAAAUAAUUCUAAAAUAAAAGCAAAGAGCUGUCCCUUAAACUCGAAAGUUUGUAACAUCCUCCAGUGGUGAUGCAACAGCCAGUAAGACUGACUGAGUAGCCAAGUGUAAUUCUGAUCCCUGCACUUUGCCAGGCUGUGACACUGGCAGAUUUCCAGAAUAAGCCAAUUUCAGAACUAUGGAGCCUCCAAAUAUGAUCUUCUGUCAGUCACAGGGAUUUCAGCUCCAGGAAAGGAAAGAUUGAUCCAGCAGAUUAUAAUCACCACUGUACGAGACAGUGAAAGCAGCGAACUUCCCUGUAGUGGGAUGCCAGCUACUGUGGGACUCAUCAUCACCUUCAGCUGUGCUGGGAAGUUGUGGUGACUUAGCUCAGGUAUCACUGUGUCUCAUCCUGCUCCAGUGAUGCAAGUUGCUGUUUUUUUAAUAGAUGCUACAGUGGCAACUCCCAGUCCACACUGAAACAACCAAAUGCUUCAGAGUUUCCAGAGUCAUCCUCAUUUUGGCCUUUCACUUCCCAUAAAAAGAGAAAUAAACAGUGAAACUGAGGAUCACACUUCCUCUCAAGGCACACCUGAUUUUUGGACUCUUGCUGUAGGACAAAGCAGCCAUCCCUGGACCAGCUCCUGGGGAAUGCUCUGCCCUCCCUGUGUCAUUGUGAGGUAGCAACUGCGCACCUCCUGACUAAGGCCCACGACAUGUCGCAGUCAUUGUGGAUUCACAGAACUAGGAGGUGCAGUAGCACCUCACAGCUCCCGUGUGGUUUCCCUCUCACGUGGGACACAGAACAGGGCCAGCAUGCAGCAAGAGGGGAUUUUGGACAAAGGACAUAAAUUACCAAGACAAGUUCCUCAGUGCUAAGGAUGGGGCCAGCACCAGAUUGCUGCCUGAAAUUAAAUAACUUUGAUAGACCAGCUAUAACAAACAAAUUGACCUGAAUGUAUUUGCCUCAAAGCAAUGAGAUGACUCUAUCAGUUUUCCGUUCAGAGGGAAAGAUAAAAACUGCUCACACAUCAGGAGACGUCCCCUCUUUUCUUCCCGUCUCUCGUCCCAGCAGCAUCUCGCUCCUCAGCUGUCUCACCAUCGGCAUUAGAGGCGUGGGUCCGUGUGUCUCCUGCCCCAAUAGUCACGGAACCAGGCCGAACGAGCCCUUAAACCGUUGACAGUAUGUAACAUCAUAUUGACGUUGUGAAGGGUAGACCUGGUUAAAUGUCUGCAGGAUCUGGGGCCUUGUGUAUCUUGGAUUCUCUUGCAGGAAUCAGAUCCAUCAAAGGAGAAGGGCCUUCCUGGUUAUUGAAGUGAAUUGGAUAAGACGUGGAAAAACACAACUGUUAUCUGGUGCCUGCUUGCCUCCGAACAGAAAUGCUCUUUCCUGGUCAGAGCAGAAGUCAAACAUCAUGAAAAUUUCUCCAUAAAUAUUGUCUUGGAUUUUAGAAGACCUAUUUGUGAAGGACUCACGUGUCUGUUUUAAGUGCCUUUUUUAUAGUUUUCACUGAAUGGUAUUACAAGCCCUGCUAAUCAUGAAAUCAGUAAUGGAGGUUUUAGUUCAGCCAUAUCCAUCACCUAGAUACCACCACCCCUAUCUGCCUUCCUGACUUUAUUUAUUUAUUUAUUGCAAGUGCAUUCAGUUGCAAGAGAGACCUAAAUCCCUGGAGCAGUAAUGUCCGUCAUGGUCACAGGACAGAAAUUUAUAAUAGACAAAUUUAUAGGCAAUCAAAUUAGACCUACAGUUAGAAUUUCUAGAAAAUGAUGAAAUAUUAUGUGACAAUAAACAGUAAACUAAGAUACAGUUAUUAACUGAGUUCAGCUAAAAUUGCAGGACUAGCGUAGCCCUUACCCACAGCUCAGUGAAAUUACACAAGUGAGACAAUAGCUGAGAAAUAGAUCACCCAAUAUUGACAAGGCACGAAUGCAUAUUAAAAUGUAUGCAAUGGUUGGCACACUUCUGCUUUGCAUUUUGGAUGCUCUGAUGUGUAAUCACUUUGUACCUUUAUACCCAGUGGGAAUAAUUAACAUCAUAUUUCUGAUGUAACCCAUUCCAUGUUUUCAAAACACUUAUAGCAACACUAUAACUUUGAAGUUUCUAUUUCUCUGAAAUUGUCCAGGAAGUUCAAAACUGAUUUCUAAAGACAAGCAGGUAGAAUAGCAAGACUGAUGGACAGGUAAGUGCAUCAUGGUCAUGUAGGCACCUCUAACUUAGAAAGCUAGAUUUAAAAACAGAAAAGCUAUUAAAUAAAUAAUAAUAUUUUUCCAGCAGUUUUAUAGCUUUAAAGAAGUACACAAUUAUUCUUAUUUUUGAAAACAUUUUACUUAGUAAUACCUUAAAAUUGUACCUGAAAGAAAUAGCUUUCAAAAAGGCUGAUAGCCUUUUUCAGGCUUUCAAAAGCCUGAUAAAGAUGGUGUUUAAAAGCUUGUUGCUAAAAUACUGUAUAAUCUGGCCAUACUUACACCAGUGCAAUCAUUAUCUCUUAAAUGUUUGAAUGAAGGAUUCUUUGGCAAACAAGCACCUGAUGUUUCCUUAAAAAAACUAAGCAUAUUAAACACCAGAGGUUUGGGGUACCUCUGUGUUUAUAGACUACAAGCCCAUCGCUCUCUCAUGUAUGUAACUUUAGUUCAGCAUGUGGAAAAUUGAGUUUGUUUGCUUCUGUGAGUCUGGCCCUUUUUUAUCUCCCAGUCUCAUCAUAGAUUCUGCAAGAAGUUGUUGAUGGACGAAGAAAGAAAUUGUAAGUAACUGUAAUCCAAGAAGCUGGGACUGUAAAAACGAUUUUCCUCAGUUACAAUUUUAUUAAAUAACUAAAAUGCUCUUCACUUGAGACCAGAAGAAAUUUUUUUAGGCUUAUACAUACUAUCGUUGGAGCUUUAGAGGGAAAUCAAAGAACCUUUCAUAUUUUCAGCUGAGUACAACAGUGAGUGAUGAGGCCAAGCGUUUCAAAGUAAGGUUUUCAAAUACAGAUUAUUCCAUUCAUAUGCAACACCUCUGUGAGAAACAUGGUCCUCAGAAAAGAUGAAUACCUCUCUCUCUCAUAAAAACAUUCAGACUAUCAGAUAUUAAGACUGUAAGGCUUUACAUUAUAGGAUCUUCCAGCAAAUCUAUGUAACAAUUUCAGAAAGUGUUUUGGUUGCUGUUACCAACAUUAGCAUUACUGCCGCAAAUGCACUGCUACUCUUGCCUCUCACACAGGAGUAGAUAUAAGAUCCCCAUUUGAAAAUCUUCAGAAAAAGAAGAUAGAACAGAAAAACAAUGAUAAGAGAGAACAUGCCUUGCAUGUAGCUGUAUAAAUGCCACUGUGUGGCAUUUAUAUAUUUAUAUAUAUUUAUAUAUUUAUAUAUAUAUAUAUAUAUAUAUAUAAUGGUAGCUGGGCUAUCACAGCAUAACCCUAGAAACCAAACACACACCUUGUGAAAGCUUGUGCUGCUAAGUUGCAGGGCUGAUCUGGCCUCACGCGGAGUGUGUAAUUCACUGCCAGUUCACGGUGCAUAAAUUUGUACUAUCAUAAUCUUCUAGGAAAAACUAUGACGCAAUCUCUGGUUUUACACUGUUAUUUAAUGGUAUCACAAAGGAAUGUAUUCACCAUAAGUAAAACUGUCACCCACAUUAAAAGCCUAUGCAAGCUAUAUGAGGGCUAUCAUUUACUUCAAGAAGGAGAUAUUUGCCCUUCGUGCUGGAGCAAUGUCUGGAAACUCCUCAUUUAUAUUAAUAAUUGAAGGAAUCUAAUUCAAGCAAGUCAUACUCAAUUUUCAUACAAUUUAAGAUUAUGAUAGCUGCAAUUUCAGUACUUUCAAUUAGGCAUGUGUUUAUCUGGAAUAUAGCUGUGUGCAGUUAUUUCCUUCAUUGUUACGAUGUGUUUGUGCAUCAAGAGUUAUGGUGGUUUCACACACCCUAUUUUCCCUCUUUAAGUCUACAUCUGUGUGUCUCCUUAAGAAUAUUGACUAACUACAAGGCCAGUAAAUUGUUAAGAAAAUAUUUAGUCACUUUUAUGAAUUAUAAGGUCUGGAGCCAAAUUCUGUAGCUAUUUGAAACACACAGGUUCAUGCUACUGUAAGCCAUCCCCAUGAGUUCAGUGCUACUAUUCACGUUUGUGCAAAUCCCCCAUGUGCAUGCAUUUGCAGUAUCAUGGCUUUAAAUAACAUCUUUGUCACACAUUAAAGAAAGCAAACUUUUUCAACCUACAUACUUAUAUCAAUCUUAAAAGAAUAUAGUGUUUUAAAGGAAAAAUUAACACCAGACAUUCAAGGAUUCCAAAAUUUCUGCACACUGCUAAAAUGCAGAAAGAUAAAGGAAUAAGUAUUCAUGUUUUUCUGUUUCAGUGCAAGCACAAACUCUUUUUGAGUGCAUGUUGCAGUUGUUUAUGCUCUGAAGAGAGCAAUAUUUUUAGCCUUACCACUUAAAGUACUGGGAUAUAUUGCAAACUUUUUGAUUAAGCAUCAUAGACUACAAUGAAAGCUCAGAGCUGUAAUGCCUCUAGCUCAUUUUUAGGCAGUUACCAUGCCAACUGUAAAAUGAUGAGCAAAAUGAAUACAAGUUUUUUUUGAAAUAGUGCAAAGUUAAUGCAAUUCCAAAGUUUUGGAACGCUUUAUUCUGUUGUUGAAAGAUUUAACAUGAUCCACAUAUAAACCUACCAAUGGUACCAGGAAUUCAUCAGCUGUCACUAAUUUAGUUGUGCUGACCUGCAGAGGUUUCACUCAAAGACUAAUGCAGCUGUCUUAGCUUUUGCAGAGUUUGGAAUUGCUAUAGAACUACAAGCAGACCUUCAAGCAAGGAAUCACUCCAGACUUCAGGCUAGAAAAAUGUAUGUUUAGUAGUGAAAGAGAAUCAUGAGAAUCUCUAAAAACUCCUGGAUAAGAUCUCCAUGAUGCUCCAUGAAAUUUCUGUAUACACAGAGAAACACAAAUGCAAACAAAUAACAAGUAUUCCAAAACCAAACCUUACAACAUUUGAAAAUCAGAAGUGAGGUUAACGUAGAAGACAUCUAACCAAAUUAGGACUGGCAGCAUGCCCAAAUACCCUGAUCUUUGUGUUGUGGUGACAUAGGGAAAUAGCAAUGCAAUUAGGAUGGGAAUGCAGUGCUGUUUGUAGUCACAAAGUUAAUGUAACUGAUUUUUUAAAAACACAUUAGAUAUUUUUUUCUCAUGUGGCAAAAUCUACAAUAUUUAGAUACCAUAGUUGCACAUUUCUGUAUAUUCAUAUAUUUGGGCCUUAUUUUCCAAAGGUGAGUUGUUUUCAGAAACUGGGGAUAGAGGAAUGAAGAAAAAAGUCUUUUCAGCUUCAAUCCCCUAGAAAACAGUGAAAGAAAUCAAUUCGAAAGAAGGAAGUUAUUUAUGGAAUUCUCCAGGAAAGAAUCAACUCUGAGUCUGCAAAGAGCAGUCAUUUUGGAUCACAAAUAUUAAAAAAAAAAAGUCAUUAAUAAUAAUAGUAAUAUUAACAAUAAUAUUAAUUUAUCAUUAAUCUCCUCCUUCUCCCUCUUCCCCCAGUGACAGGAAACAUAAGAACUUCAUGUAUUCUACCAUGUUUACUUCAAAACAAGGACUUUAAUUAAUAUUCAGCAGUCAGGCUCCUUUAAUAUUAGUUUAUCUUUUCAAUUUUGGCAUAUGCUAUAUGGUGUUGGAUGGUGGUCAGUGGAAUUACUGAGGUUUCCCUCUACAGGAGCAGAUCCAGGCCACAGGCUAGGCGUGGUCUCAGGUGGGUGGAUUUGGAUCAAAUUUACACAGUUGCAAAAAAUCCAGCUGCCUUUCUUUAUUCAUAGCUGGAGGUGGAGUAGGAAGAAGAGGAGGCAGUGGUGGUAAGUGGAGGACACCAAAUUGUGCAAUGCGUGUAGGAAGGCAGCCAACAUAAAGAGGAAAAAAAUGUGAGCAGCAGCUAGCACACAGGCUACUUUACACAAGUUAGAUGAAUGUUCAUCUGUGUCUUGCACCAGGUCAUAUAAAGCAAAAACAAGGGUGACAUUUCCAGCCAUACCCUUCUAUAAGAGUAGUUGUGGUUUAACAAUCCACAUAUGUGUGACAAUAGUUAAUUAACAGUCAGCCCUUUGUAGUGCCCACAGCCCAAUGCUUCUAUGUGUGUGUUUGGAGCCCUCUGUGCAUUCAUUUACCAAAGUCUCUGUACUUGAAAUUCAAAAUAAUCAGUUUACCCUUUGAUGAAUUAAUCCUCCUGCUCUCUUCCACAUCCCCUCUCCCAGAUCCCACAAGGCCUCAAAAAUUAGGCUUAUGGAAAAUUGCCAAACUGAAUUAAUUUAGGCCUGAAUUACUAAAGCGAUUGUAUCCUAGGAUUACCUCAGAGCACAGGACACUGUCCUCUUCUCACACCACACUGCCAUCAGUGUGAGUCUGCAGCUUCAGUGGUCUAAGCUAAAUUUUAUCCUCUGACAUAGGCCUGUAGAAAUGAGAGCAGAUUCUGGCCAUGGUUUUAAAUAUUUGAACAGGGUAAAAGCCAAGAAGGGUUGGAAAUUAUUUAGCCUACUAUUAGGGGAUAUAAUUAGACAUACUUGGGUAUAAUUAGAUUUGGAUUAAAUGAAGGGGGAAAAAAAAGCAAUGUGAAAAAACAACCUUGCUAACAGUGAGAUCCCUUAUAUGUGGGAAUAAGGCGAAAAUGUGUGAAAACCACAGCGGAAAUGGAGUAGGUGACAGGAUGGGUCUUUUAUCUCUAAUAUUGUGGCCAGCUUAUGCCUUUUGUUUGUGAACUAAGGAUAAAGAGAUGCCCUUGGAAGCUCACAAGCACAGUCCAUAGUUUAUGAUUGAGGAUGCCAUAGUGUCCAACAUGUCCCCAGCUGACCAGGGUAUGUUAACCAGGAUGCAUAAUUUCUCUCUAAACCAUUGUAGGUUUCCUUGCAUGAGACACAGUAUAUAUAAAGUAGGAUCAACAGUGAGCCUUUUUUUUUUACUGCUUCAGGAAAGGUGAGAUUGUUUAUCAGGAGAAAGUGUUAGCAGAAUGACAUAGGAAAGAAUGAUAGUGCCGCAUCAGGCAGCAACCCAGCAGAGAAAGUCCUGAGGCUUUUGUGGGGAUACACUGAGAAUUGAGGUUUUUUUAGUUCCACACAGCAAACCAUUCACAAGUUAGGCCACAACUUCUCAGUUGUAGUAACUGAGGUUUACAAAGGUCCACUGCAGAGUUUUUCUCAGAAUGUUAGCAAAAAUAAAAGCAAAACUAUUGAAAGAAGAUUAAGGUGGAAAAAUCAAGGAUUUAAAAUGUAGGUAAUUCAACCAACUUAAAUUCAACUUUUAUGCCAUCUAAUUCCACACUUUUUUGUGUUUUGAUAUGGUCUUUAAUUGCACAAUCACAUACUAUUUGGUGAAUAAUUCCAGACUCAGGGCCGAUUUGGGAUUGUGUGAACUAAAUAAGGCAUGAGACCACACACAGUGAAUAAAGUGGAUAGGCAGGAAUAUAGAACAGCUGCCUUGUUUACUGAGUACCACCCACGAAAUGAGGCAGUGAUUCUGCAGAAUUUUUUUUUUAAGUACAUGAUCAAUAUAAUUAAAUAAUCUCUGUGCAGAAGUACAAAGAAGAGCAGAGAGUCUAUACGGGCAAAUUGAGCCUCUCUCUAAAUCUGCCACUUAGUCAAAUCACACUUGUUGCUCUAUUUUUUUGCAGGUCCCAAGAAUGCCUUCUCUCAGUCUCCCCUUUCAAUGACUGCAGUGCAUUUCUGAUUUAGUUAAGCCUAAGACAACCUACCUUCAGUAUAACAGCUGGAAUUGCUUUCUCAGCCUGUUUUCCUUUCACACAGUGUUAUAAUGAGGGUGAAAUUUCAUGACUGUGUGACUAAGGACAUAUAUAUUCCAUCUAUAGAACAAAGUGCAUUUGAUCUGGCAUACAGAUAAUGAAUGUCACUUAGCACAAGCAGUUUUUGUGUUAAAUGUCAGAAUAUCAUUGAUUGUAAAACCAUUUCUUUUUCCACCCUCUGAAAUACAGAAAUCUUGUGAUGCAUCAUCUCCACAGAUAGCAUGAUACAUCACUUGAAAUUAUCACAGGAAAUUUUCCUAAUUCCAUUUGACCAGGAAUGUUUAGGGAGGAUCUGGAAAAGUUAGCAAACUUCCUACUGAAAGUGUAGGAAAAAAGUAGUGUUUUAAAAAGUAAAGAAACAUAGAAUCACAGAAUCAUAAGUUCAUUUGAAUUGGAAGGGACCCUUAAAGGUCAUCUAGUCCAGCUCCCUUGCAAUGAACAGGGACACCUACAGUUA